rnacentral:rRNA from 1 species
UACGAAGGGUGCUAGCGUUGUUCGGAAUCACUGGGCGUAAAGCGCGCGUAGGCGGCUUGUCAAGUCAGGGGUGAAAUCCUGAGGCUCAACCUCAGAAUUGCCUUUGAAACUAGCAAGCUGGAGUGUCGGAGGGGAUAGCGGAAUUGCUAAUGUAGCGGUGAAAUGCGUAGAUAUUAGCAGGAACACCGGUGGCGAAGGCGGCUAUCUGGACGACAACUGACGCUGAGGCGCGAAAGCGUGGGGAGCAAACAGG